CAACUUUCAACAAUGGAUCUCUUGGUUCUGGCAUCGAUGAAGAACGCAGCGAAAUGCGAUAAGUAGUGUGAAUUGCAGAAUUCAGUGAAUCAUCGAAUCUUUGAACGCACAUUGCGCCCCUUGGUAUUCCAUGGGGCAUGCCUGUUCGAGCGUCAUUG
rnacentral:rRNA from 1 species